GUCCACGCCCUAAACGAUGUCAACUAGUUGUCGGGGAAGCAAUUCCUUGGUAACGCAGCUAACGCGUGAAGUUGACCGCCUGGGGAGUACGGUCGCAAGAUUAAAACUCAAAGGAAUUGACGGGGACCCGCACAAGCGGUGGAUGAUGUGGAUUAAUUCGAUGCAACGCGAAAAACCUUACCUACCCUUGACAUGUCCAGAACCCUGAUGAAAGUUGGGGGUGCCCGAAAGGGAAUUGGAACACAGGUGCUGCAUGGCUGUCGU
rnacentral:rRNA from 1 species